UACGUAGGGGCCGAGCGUUGUCCGGAGUUAUUGGGCGUAAAGCGCGCGCAGGCGGCUUCGCGCGUCCGACGUGAAAGCCCCCGGCUUAACCGGGGAGGGUCGUUGGGUACGGCGAGGCUUGAGGGCGGGAGAGGGUGGUGGAAUUCCCGGUGUAGUGGUGAAAUGCGUAGAGAUCGGGAGGAACACCUGUGGCGAAGGCGGCCACCUGGGCCGACCCUGACGCUGAGGCGCGAAGGCGUGGGGAGCGAACGGG
rnacentral:ncRNA from 2 species